GAUGAACGCUGGCGGUCUGCUUAACACAUGCAAGUCGAACGGAAGUAGCAAUACUUUAGUGGCGGACGGGUGAGUAACACGUAAGAAUCUGCCUCCAGGACGGGAAAAGCAGUUGGAAACGACUGCUAAUUCCGGAUGAGCCGAAAGGUAAAAAGAAAUUCGCCUGGAGAUGAGCUUGCGGCUGAUUAGCUAGUUGGUAGGGUAAGAGCCUACCAAGGCGACGAUCAGUAGCUGGUCUGAGAGGAUGAGCAGCCACACUGGGACUGGGACACGGGCCAGACUCCUACGGGAGGCAGCAGUGGGGAAUUUUCCGCAAUGGGCGAAAGCCUGACGGAGCAAGACCGCGUGGGGGAGGAAGGUUCUUGGAUUGUCAACCCCUUUUCUCAGGGAAGAAGAUCUGACGGUACCUGAGGAAUCAGCAUCGGCUAACUCCGUGCCAGCCGCCGCAGUAAGAC
rnacentral:rRNA from 1 species